CCUACGGGGGGCAGCAGUGGGGAAUAUUGCGCAAUGGGCGAAAGCCUGACGCAGCGACGCCGCGUGAGGGAUGAAGGUCUUCGGAUCGUAAACCUCUGUCAGCAGGGAAGAACGGUCACUGUGCUAAUCAGCAGUGAAUUGACGGUACCUGCAAAGGAAGCACCGGCUAACGCCGUGCCAGCAGCCGCGGUAAUACGGAGGGUGCGAGCGUUAAUCGGAAUGACUGGGCGUAACGCGCUCGUAGGCGGUAGGUCAAGUCAAGGGUGAAAUCCCCGCGCUCAACUUGGGAACUGCCUUUGAAACUGGCAAACUGGAGUGUGUGAGCGGAUAGUGGAAUUCCCGUUGUAGGCGU
rnacentral:rRNA from 1 species